AGGUCUAGGUCCAGGUCUUGGUCUAGGUCUAGGUGUAGCUUUAGGCCGUGCUAGGUCUAGGUCUAGGUCCAGGCCUUGGUCUAGGCCUAGGUCUAGGUCUAGGUGUAGCUUUAGGCCGUGCUAGGUCUAGGUCUAGGUCCAGGUCUUGGUCUAGGUCUAGGUGUAGCUUUAAGCCGUGCUAGGUCUAGGUCCAGGCCAUGGUCUAGGUCUAGGUGUAGCUUUAGGCUGUGCUAGGUCUAGGUCUAGGUGUAGCUUUAGGCUGUGCUAGGUCUAGGUCAAGGUCUAGGUGUAGCUUUAGGCCGUGCUAGGUCUAGGUCUAGGUCUAGGUCUAGGUCCAGGUCAGGAGUCGGCAAACUACGGGCCGCAUGCGGCCCUUUAGCCAAAUAAAUAAAAGACUCAUUCUCGAAACUAACUUUAAUGGGAUUCAUUUAUGUAUGAUUGUUGUAGGUCAAAAGUCAACCAUAUAUUAUCAAUUUGUAAAAGUAUAUUGCUUGUAUAUGUUUUUUCAGCAUGAAAUGUGCAUCGCAAGACUAUCAAAUUCAGAAACAAAACUCCUGUGAAACUGGAUGAGAAAAGUAGCGGGUGUUUGAUUAUCUCAUUCAUUAUAGCAAGUUGUAACCUUGAGUUAAUAUUGUUUUUUGCUUAUGCGGGCCCCAAGUGUUGCUGGGAAUGAAU